UACGUAGGGUGCGAGCGUUAAUCGGAAUUACUGGGCGUAAAGCGUGCGCAGGCGGUUUUGUAAGCCAGGUGUGAAAUCCCCGGGCUCAACCUGGGAAUGGCAUUUGGGACUGCAAGGCUGGAGUGCGGCAGAGGAGACUGGAAUUCCUGGUGUAGCAGUGAAAUGCGUAGAUAUCAGGAGGAAUACCGAUGGCGAAGGCAGGUCUCUGGGCUGACACUGACGCUCAUGCACGAAAGCGUGGGGAGCAAACAGGA
rnacentral:rRNA from 1 species